UGUGGUGACGAUAGCGUUGAGGAUCCACCUGUUCUCAUUCCGAACACAGAAGUUAAGCUCAACCGCGCCGAAAGUACUUGUCCGGCAACGGGCCGGGAGGAUAGGUUGUUGCCACAU
rnacentral:rRNA from 1 species